CUACGGGGGGCUGCAGUGGGGAAUCUUGGACAAUGGGCGCAAGCCUGAUCCAGCCAUGCCGCGUGAGUGAAGAAGGCCUUAGGGUCGUAAAGCUCUUUCGCCAGAGAUGAUAAUGACAGUAUCUGGUAAAGAAACCCCGGCUAACUCCGUGCCAGCAGCCGCGGUAAUACGGAGGGGGUUAGCGUUGUUCGGAAUUACUGGGCGUAAAGCGCGCGUAGGCGGAUUAGUCAGUCAGAGGUGAAAUCCCAGGGCUUAACCCUGGAACUGCCUUUGAUACUGCUAGUCUUGAGUUCGAGAGAGGUGAGUGGAAUUCCGAGUGUAGAGGUGAAAUUCGUAGAUAUUCGGAGGAACACCAGUGGCGAAGGCGGCUCACUGGCUCGAUACUGACGCUGAGGUGCGAAAGUGUGGGGAGCAAACAGGAUUAGAUACCCGAGUAGUC
rnacentral:rRNA from 1 species